CUUUGCCUUUUAAUCUUGACCGUCCAUCAAGAUUGAAUCUGUACCGUCCGAUCGCGAUUUAAUUGGGAUUAAAUCUGGACCGUUCAUCGCGAUGCAAUCUGGGCCGUCCGUGCACACGUUUGAUCUGGGCCGUCCGUGUGCGCGAGAACGGAUCUGGGCCAUCCGAUCGCGCGCACGCGGAUCGCCCACGUGGCACGUUCCCUGGUCAGCGUUGCCUUGCCACGCGACGCGUUCUGGUUGGCCGGGACUGCUGAUCGGGCCACUGACGUGGCUGCUGACGUAGUGCUGACGUAGCACAACUU
rnacentral:lncRNA from 1 species